GACGAACGCUGGCGGCGUGCUUAACACAUGCAAGUCGAACGGAAAGGCCUCUUUCGGGGGGUACUCGAGUGGCGAACGGGUGAGUAACACGUGAGUAACCUGCCCCUGACUUUGGGAUAACUUCAGGAAACUGGGGCUAAUACCGGAUAGGAGCUCCUGCUGCAUGGUGGGGGUUGGAAAGUUUCGGCGGUUGGGGGUGGACUCGCGGCUUAUCAGCUUGUUGGUGGGGUAUUGGCUUACCAAGGCUUUGACGGGUAGCCGGCCUGAGAGGGUGACCGGCCACAUUGGGACUGAGAUACGGCCCAGACUCCUACGGGAGGCAGCAGGGGGGAAUAUUGCACAAUGGGUGGAAGCCUGAUGCAGCAACGCCGUGUGCGGGAUGACGGCCUUCGGGUUGUAAACCGCUUUCGCUCAUGACGGAGCUUUGUGUGACGGUAGUGGGUAAAGAAGCACCGGCUAACUACGUG
rnacentral:rRNA from 1 species